rnacentral:piRNA from 1 species
UGUAGAAGGAAGGGUCACUGUGCUU